AUGAUAUACGCUGAUUUUAUGCCACAUGGCUUCCGAGCAGCAGAACUCCUCGGAAGAUCAUCAUCCAUGGCCAAGCCUCUCGAUGGCCCUGAGCUUGACGCCGUGCUUGAAGCCGAGCACGAUCCCGAACUGGAACUCCGGCGGCGACUCCAUCCGCGGCGACCGGCGGAAGACGUAGCGGCGGUAGAGGUGCACCAUGGCCAGCUUCACCUCCUGCAGCGCGAACCGCUGCCCGACGCACGCCCGCGGGCCCAGCCCGAACGGCACGUGCGCGUACGGGUGCCGCCGCCGCUCCUCCUCGCACCCGACCUCGAACCGCUCCGGCCGGAACGCGCCGGGCUCCGGGAACUGCGCCGCGUCCCUCGCCAGCACCCCCGGCGCCAGCCACAGCCACGUGCCCUUCGGGAGCGCGUGCCCCCCGACCUCCACCCGCCGCGACGUCUCCCUCGCGACCAGCGGCGACACCGUGUAGAACCGCAUCGCCUCCUUUAUCACCUGGUCGAGGUAGGGGAAGUUGCGCUGGAGAUCGUCGGCCGUCGGCGGCGUGGCGCCGGACCGGUCGACCUCGGCGAGCAGCUUGGCCUCGACCUCCGGGUGGCCGGCGACGAGGUACACGGCGGAGGCCAGCGUGAAGGACGUGGUGGCCGACCCGGCGAGGAGGUGCUCGUAGGUGAGCGCGCCCACGUACUCCGGCGUCAGCACCUCCCUCAUCUUGUCGCCGCCGCCGUCCCGGGCGUUGAGCAGCGCCGACAGGAAGUCCCGCUGCCCUCUCCUCUUGUCGCGGUCGCGCUCCCUGCUCGCCACGAUCUCCUCCACCCUCGCCCGCAGCCGCUCGUUGGUCCGCGCGAUCCUCCGGUCCGCCGUCCCGGGGAGCCGCCGGAGAAGCCCUCGUGCCGGCCCCUGCAGCGCCGGCGCGACGAGGCCCAGCACGAUGGAGAGGGACGCCGACAGGUCCAUCUUGAGCGAGGUGGUGGAGUGGACGUGCUCGGCGAUGAACUCCGCGGCCUCGCGUCCGCCGUGCUCGCGCGGCGCCGAGAGCGCGAAGUCCACGCCGAAGGCCGCCUGGCCGAUGACGUCGGUGGCUAG
rnacentral:rRNA from 1 species